CCCUUAGAUGUUCUGGGCCGCACGCGCGCUACACUGAUGCAUUCAACGAGUCUAAAACCUGGUCUGAGAGGGCUGGGUAAUCUUUUGAAAGUGCAUCGUGAUUGGGAUAGAUGAUUGCAAUUCUUCAUCUUCAACGAGGAAUGCCUAGUAAACGCAAGUCAUCAGCUUGCAUUGAUUACGUCCCUGCCCUUUGUACACACCGCCCGUCGCUACUACUGAUUGGAUGUUUAAGCGAGGUUCUCGAACUGCUAGCGACUUAGCUUCGGUGAGGUCGCAGUGUGGGAAGUGAACCUAGCUUUGGUGUCUAGAGGAAGUAAAAGUCGUAACA
rnacentral:rRNA from 1 species